rnacentral:rRNA from 1 species
GGGGUAAAGGCCUACCAAGCCGACGAUCUAUAGCUGGUCUGAGAGGACGAACAGCCACAUUGGAACUGAGACACGGUCCAGACUCCUACGGGAGGCAGCAGUGAGGAAUAUUGGGCAAUGGAGGAAACUCUGACCCAGCCAUGCCGCGUGAGUGAAGAAGGUUCUCGAAUUGUAAAGCUCUUUCGGAUGGGACGAUGAUGACGGUACCAUCUAAAGAAGCCCCGGCAAACUUCGUGCCAGCAGCCGCGGUAAUACGAAGGGGGCAAGCGUUGUUCGGAAUUACUGGGCGUAAAGGGUGUGUAGGCGGAUUUGUAAGAUAGUGGUGAAAUACCUGAGCUCAACUUAGGAAUUGCCAUUAUAACUAUAGAUCUGGAGUGACAGAGAGGAUAUUGGAAUACCCAGUGUAGAGGUGAAAUUCGUAGAUAUUGGGUAGAACACCAGUGGCGAAGGCGAGUAUCUGGCUGUCAACUGACGCUGAGGCACGAAAGCAUGGGGAUCAAACAGGAUUAGAUACCCUGGUAGUCCAUCCUAU